CGGGUAGCAAGUAGCAUCCCACUGCAGUGAUGGAUAUGCAUCUUUUACUUCUUGCUCCUUCUGCCCCUGGGUCCAUGUAUCCACCUAGCUCUGGUACCCUCCAGAGGUGCCAUCUCUACCUCUGACACAGCCUGUCUGCCUUGAGACUGAGGAAGGCACAGGCAAGCAAGGAGCCAUGAACCACAGGGCCCCAGCCAGCACAGGAUUUGUCCUCAUUCCGUGGGUGAUGGAUGAAUCUAUUGGAGUCCUGAAUAAAUGCUGCUCUUUGGCUUCCAAAACCCUGCUCUCUCUGGCCUUGGGUCAUGAGGGUAUAAGGAAUAAACAUGGUGAGCUUGUUCUCCUUUUGAAAA
rnacentral:lncRNA from 1 species